GACGAACGCUGGCGGCGUGCUUAACACAUGCAAGUCGAACGAAGUGGCGAACGGGUGAGUAACGCGUAAACAACCUGCUCUUCAGAGGGGGACAACAGUUGGAAACGACUGCUAAUACCGCAUACUGAAGGAGGGGAUUGCGUCUGAUUAGCAGGUUGGAGGGGUAACGGCCCACCAAGGCGAUGAUCAGUAGCCGGACUGAGAGGAUGAACGGCCACAUUGGGCAUGGAACACGGCCCAGACUCCUACGGGAGGCAGGAGUGGGGAAUCUUUCGCAAUGGACGAAAGUCUUACGGAGCAACGCCGCGUGAGUGAUGACGGCCUUCGGGUUGUAAAGCUCUGUUAAUCGGGACGCGGUACCGGAAUAGAAAGCCACGGCUAACUACGUGCCAGCCGCCGCGGUAAUUC
rnacentral:rRNA from 1 species